GGAGGGCCAGGGUGGGACAGGAGCAGGAAUGGGGUCCGCUCUGAAAGUCAACGUCAGAAAGGGACAGUAGCCAGGGAGACUUGACCUUUCUGUGUUCCUAAAUCAAAGGGCAGGCUGCACUUUUGGCUGGUGGCCAAGGUUCUGGAGGCAGCCGGUGAGGACCAGGCAUGCAGUGCGAACCGCUCAGGGGCACCGGACAGCAUCCACUUCCCGCGCACCCACGACAAGGGCACUAUAAGAACUGGGCACUCAGCACGAUUUGCAAUUCAUGGGAGUUCUGGAAUUUUGAAUUUCAGAGGUUCUAGAAUGCUGGAACUUGCACCUUGGUGGUGGUCUAGAACUCUCAGGGAUACUGGAUUUCUAGAACUACAAAAGGGUCCUGCGUGAGGGGACAGAUCUCGCGGACUUUAGAGUGUCUGCUUGUCUCUCUCGGAUUCGGAGCUGACAGAAUUCAUAUCAGAAGAGUGAACGCAGGGACAUCUGUGUGCGGAAUGACUGUGCUGCUCGAACCUGCCAAUCGC
rnacentral:lncRNA from 1 species